ACGGGUGAGUAACACGUGGGUAACCUACCUAUAAGACUGGGAUAACUUCGGGAAACCGGAGCUAAUACCGGAUAAUAUUUCGAACCGCAUGGUUCGAUAGUGAAAGAUGGCUCUGCUAUCACUUAUAGAUGGACCUGCGCCGUAUUAGCUAGUUGGUAAGGUAACGGCUUACCAAGGCAACGAUACGUAGCCCACCUGAGAGGGUGAUCGGCCACACUGGAACUGAGACACGGUCCAGACUCCUACGGGAGGCAGCAGUAGGGAAUCUUCCGCAAUGGGCGAAAGCCUGACGGAGCAACGCCGCGUGAGUGAUGAAGGUCUUCGGAUCGUAAAACUCUGUUAUUAGGGAAGAACAAACGUGUAAGUAACUGUGCACGUCUUGACGGUACCUAAUCAGAAAGCCACGGCUAACUACGUGCCAGCAGCCGCGGUAAUACGUAGGUGGCAAGCGUUAUCCGGAAUUAUUGGGCGUAAAGCGCGCGUAGGCGGUUUUUUAAGUCUGAUGUGAAAGCCCACGGCUCAACCGUGGAGGGUCAUUGGAAACUGGAAAACUUGAGUGCAGAAGAGGAAAGUGGAAUUCCAUGUGUAGCGGUGAAAUGCGCAGAGAUAUGGAGGAACACCAGUGGCGAAGGCGACUUUCUGGUCUGUAACUGACGCUGAUGUGCGAAAGCGUGGGGAUCAAACAGGAUUAGAUACCCUGGUAGUCCACGCCGUAAA
rnacentral:rRNA from 1 species